GUAACUAUUUAGAAAUGUAAAGGAAAGGCAGUAAAAAAGUGACAAAAAAUCUUUAAUUGUAGGGAAAAUGUGCAUCUUUUUUUCCCCAACAUGUGAAUAAAAUGCAUUUCCUUCUUUAACAAUCACAGUUACAAUAGAUCCAUGCAUCUCACAGGAAAAAAUUGACAAUUUGAUUAUGACUUGUACUUUUUGCCGGGGCCAUGAAAGUGGUUUAUGUUUGAAAUGUAUCAGCUGGAAAGUACUUAUUACUCAUAAACGCUCUGCUAUUUCACUUUCUGCAAAGUGAGCUGUUAACAGAUACAAUUUGAGCAGAAUAGCCAGAGGAGGCCUUUUGAUAUGCAGAAGAGCUGACCCGCGUGCUGAGCCUUUAAUUGGGUUUUUAAUUUUCCAGGCCAUCUGACAAUAUCAAACAUGAUCCCAGUGCUUGAAAUGUUGAUUGGAGGCUAAGAAGGAUGUACUACAACAUGGCAUUAUGGAGAGAAAAAGGGAAGAACGCAGGUAGAGAGGAAGACACUGAGAGCCAAAUCAUCUGCCUUGUGAUUUUUGCUGGUUUUAGAGAAUAUUUCCAAACAGUUUAGCAUUUCAUUUUAAAUGAUGAACAUCUGAUUAUUUUGUAGUUAUGGUGAAGAUGUUUGAAAAUAUUUCUAAAUCAUAUGUCUUAAGCUACUUAGCUAAACGGAUCUGCUCAAGUGAGUCGGAAUCGGAAAAAAGCAUUUUGCAAAUUUAGCAUGUUUUCUUAGGCAAACCUACCAAAAGUAAAAAAGUGGUUGAGAAAAUAUUUGAUUAAUUUGCUAUCUUUAGACGUUUUCUUUGAAAAGUGCCUGAACCACGAUGCUUCUUUUCCAAUUAUGAAGUUCUCAUUUUUAUAAAAAUGUAUAAUGCUAAAAUGGUCAUUUUAUUCAAUGUCAAGUAGAUGCUCAUUUAUAGCUAUCAAAAUGCCUGAGAAGGAGAAGCAUAAGAUUUAUUUUGGCUUUGGACAGCUUAUUCAGUAAACAUUUUUUUAUUUGCUCAUUUGUAAGGAUAAGGCGAAGAAUAAAAUCUAAUUUAUUAUUUUAUUGGAAGUCGGUAUCAGGGUGAUGCAGGACUGUGGAUUUAAGAAAUCUGUAAAUCUCUUUAAUAAAGGCCUGGGGAAUUAUUAGUAGGGACAAAUGUAAAAUGCCUGACAGUUACAUUUCUAAAAGAAAAACACAAUAAUCUCAUUAAAGAAAUUACUGACAGCGGCUCACAGAUAUUAAUGGUUGAAGUAACAAAGGACAUACAAUAUCAGAGAGUAGAUUAUCUUUUUCCUUUUUUAGAAUUUUGCAAUCGAUAUAACUUAUUAAGCAUAUCAAAAUAACAAGGUGCAGUUUUCCACUCAACAAUCCUCUUUUGCAGUACUAUUAGGCAAUUUAGAAUAAAAAAUAUUUUUAUUUAAUAAAUAAAUUAUAAUCCAAAUACAAAGAACUGUUAAACCCAUUAAAGGAGGAGGUUUAUAUAAAAAUGAUACUGAAUGCUAUAACAUAAGAACUAUGAGGAUGAUUGCCCUGAAGCUAACCAAAUAAUAGCUAUAGUCUGGGAGAUAUAUAUACACAUACAUAUAAUUUUUUAUAUGUUUAUAUUGAAAAUAUUUUGCCCCUUGAAGGCUAUCUAGGAAAUUAUUUACAUAUGUGUAGUAAAUUCACAGUCUUAAAUGUUAGAAUUUUGGGUUUUUUUUUUCCUUUUCAUGCUCACUUCUUAUUAGCUUUAACAAGGAAUGAGUGAAUUAUUCAACAUCAAGAAUAGUCCAAUAAAUAAGAAAGAGGGUUUUCUUUUGAAGAAAAGGAAGGCAGUUACAAAAUACUACAUAUACUGUCUCCCUAACAAUCUUUGAUACCAACACAGUAGGCGAUUGGGUUCAGUUUAGGUCUAUCUAGCGCUUUUUGAGAUUCUCUGUUCAACAUGCCAACUUAUGCUAUGUAAUCUGCCGUAUUACAUCACACUGAAUAUUACCCACUUAGAUCAAAAUUAAGAAAGAAGGUUGGUACACUUAAUUCUUUAAUCUUUCACCUGAGCCUCUUAAACGUUUCAGGGUUCCUAAAGCUGCACACUUCUCUAAGAUGUAGUAAAUAUUCAAUUAUGUCCAUCUUGUACUUGAAAAAAAGGAAGGCACUUACAGACUACUGAUCAGAAUAAUGUUUUCAAAUGUGUUAACGCAGCUAAGGAAUCUUAAGUCCUAGGCUGAGACUCACUGGGCACACUGCCCGACAAAGACCUCAGAGGUAAGAAUCUGAAUCCCAGCACACUGGGAAUUUAGACAAGCCUCGGAUUAGCACUCCUCAUGCAUUUCUCUACAUCAAAACUCAAGAGGAAAGAGUUUAAAUUUUAUGUGCAACCUUGUUUAAGGGAGGAAAAAUAAAGAUAAACUCAGGAAUACCUUUCCUGGUUUAGGAAGAGGCAUCUUAUGCCUUAAUAUUGUAAGAACUUAAA
rnacentral:lncRNA from 1 species